rnacentral:rRNA from 1 species
CACGUAGUUAGCCGUGGCUUUCUAAUAAGGUACCGUCAAGGUAACGCCAGUUACUACGCUACUUGUUCUUCCCUUACAACAGAGUUUUACGAACCGAAAUCCUUCUUCACUCACGCGGCGUUGCUCCAUCAGGCUUUCGCCCAUUGUGGAAGAUUCCCUACUGCUGCCUCCCGUAGGAGUCUGGGCCGUGUCUCAGUCCCAGUGUGGCCGAUCACCCUCUCAGGUCGGCUACGCAUCGUUGCCUUGGUGAGCCGUUACCUCACCAACUAGCUAAUGCGCCGCGGGCCCAUCCUAUAGCGAUAGCAGAACCAUCUUUCAACUUUCUGACAGGAGCCAAAAAGUAUUAUUCGGUAUUAGCCCCGGUUUCCCGGAGUUAUCCCAAACUAUAGGGUAGGUUGCCCACGUGUUACUCACCCGUCCGCCGCUAACGUUUUAUCGGUGCAAGCACCAAUAAAACGUCCGCUCGACUUGCAUGUAUUAGGCACGCCGCCAGCGUGUCUCGUGCACGAGUCAACUACU